GAGAGCAAACAGAAAAGGGCAACUUCAUAAACAUGCACUGACUGUAUGUUCAUUUUUAUGCAUGUUUAUGUAGUUGCCCUUUUCUGUUUCUUCUUCCCCUU
rnacentral:miRNA from 1 species